AUCUUAGAGUUCUUUUUGGAGAGAAGACAGAGAGAGCCAGUAGAGAUUUUGUAUUGUUGUUCUUCAGCAGAGAUUCAUACCUCAUGUCAGCGUUUUCAUCUUUUGAUUUUCUUCUUCUUCGAUUUCUAGGUUUGAUAUGUUUAUGGAAAUCUCAAAUUUAGUUCAUUCAAAUUCCAUUUAGCCCUUAAUCUCAUCUUACAUCGAUUAUUCUUCAUCCCAUUUAUGGAAAGCUCUGAUUCACCGUGUUGUUUAAUUUCGAUGAUAUGUAAAUCUCAAGAGAUGAGGGAAGAAGAUCUGAUUGCAUCUGUUAAGAAAUUUUGAGCUUCCUGAAAGGAUUUCGUAUUUAAGGCUUCAAACGUGGAUAGCCAGAUAGUGGACGAUUGGGUUUAUUCUUCAGUUGGGAGAAAUGGAGGAACUGCCUCGAAUUGAUAGGUCAUACUUGGCUUGUAUUUUGUGCUGUGGAAAAUCAGAGGAGAAACUGAAGCUUACAGCCUUGAGUUCGUUGGGCAUUAGCUAAUGUUGGUGGUGUCUCGAGUACCCACGGUGGGAUUUGUUUGUUGCUGGUGUUGAUUAUUAGUGGAUGCACAUGUAGCUCGGACAUGAAAUAAACCCAAUCUAUAAAUCAAGCUGGUAGUCUAUUGCGAGUCUUCAGCCGAUGGUUUGUUCUUUUUGAAGUACUGGUGCAUCUCUGGUAAAAUAAGAACUAAUAAACACUUCAAUUUUUUUUUUAUUCUUUAGUGUGUACAUGAGCGAGCAGAAGAUGCACUGAAAAAGAAUAAAAUAAGAAGCCACUUAAUGAUGAGAAUCUUUGUAGAGGUGUACAUGGGUAUACAGAUCGUAAAGCUGGUUUAGAAGAGAAUAUACAGUUGCUGGUGACAAAUCUGGUAGAGCACAUGGACCACUUAUGUCUUUUUCUCAUGUUAGGACGUCUUCCAGGUAGGAAUAUCAACCGGAUAUAUAUGUAAUGAUUAUAAGGAUACUGGUUUUUAUGGGUUAGGAGAUUCUUGCAAGUUUAUGCAUGAUGGAGAAGAUUAUAAGUCUGGAUGGCAGAUGGAGAGGGAACGGGAGGAAGCUGAGAAGAUUCGAAAGAGGAAUUUAGCUUUCUUUGAGCAUUAAGGAAAAGGAAAAGCAAGCGCUAAGCAAGGCAGAACCCAGCUCAGGACAGAUGUGCACUUCGGUGGGAGACAUACAAAAUAAAUGGAUGUGAAUACUUGGCUCCGUUGGGAUUCCAUUGGAUGUUUACGGUACAUUCAAGAUUAUUGAGAGGAAGGAUACUGCUGAACAGAAAAAGUGGCUUGUGUUAGAUUUGAAUAGCAUACUUGUUAGUGGUGCUUAUGUGGAGUUGUAUGUGAUGUACAAACCGGUGCACGUUGUCUUGUCUUUGGAUUUUGUAGAUUUGUAUGUCUUACACCAGUGUAAAUUAAGAUAUUUAAAAAAUAAAAAUUAUAUGGUCAUAUAGGUACUCUUUUUGUCGAGCUCGAAAAAAGUUUUCCGAAUAUAUAAAGUUUGCGAAUUUUGGA